CCUACGGGAGACAGCAGUGAGGAAUAUUGGUCAAUGGUCGGGAGACUGAACCAGCCAAGCCGCGUGAGGGAUGAAGGUACAGAGUAUCGUAAACCUCUUUUGUCAGGGAACAAAGGCGGGGACGCGUCCCCGGAUGAGUGUACCUGAAGAAAAAGCAUCGGCUAACCCCGUGCCAGCAGCCGCGGUAAUACGGAGGAUGCGAGCGUUAUCCGGAUGUAUGGGGUUAAAAGGGUGCGCAGGCGGUCUGUUAAGUCAGCGGUCAAAGCCCGGGGCUCAACCCCGGCCUGCCGUUGAAACUGGCGGCCUCGAGUGGGCGAGAAGUAUGCGGAAUGCGUGGUGUAGCGGUGAAAUGCAUAGAUAUCACGCAGAACUCCGAUUGCGAAGGCAGCAUACCGGCGCCCUACUGACGCUGAGGCACGAAAGCGUGGGUAUCGAACAGGAUUAGAUACCCUAGUAGUC
rnacentral:rRNA from 1 species